AACGAACGCUGGCGGCAUGCCUAACACAUGCAAGUCGAACGAGACCUUCGGGUCUAGUGGCGCACGGGUGCGUAACGCGUGGGAACCUGCCCUUAGGUUCGGCAUAACUCCCCGAAAGGGGUGCUAAUACCGGAUAAUGUCUUCGGACCAAAGAUUUAUCGCCUUUGGAUGGGCCCGCGUUGGAUUAGCUAGUUGGUAGGGUAAAAGCCUACCAAGGCGACGAUCCAUAGCUGGUCUGAGAGGAUGAUCAGCCACACUGGGACUGAGACACGGCCCAGAAUCCUACGGGAGGCAGGAGUGGGGAAUAGUGGACAAUGGGCGAAAGGCUGAUCCAGCAAUGACGGGUGAGGGAUGAAGGCCUUAGGGUUGUAAAGCUCUUUUACCCGGGAUGAUAAUGACAGUACCGGGAGAAUAAGCUCCGGCUAGCUCCGUG
rnacentral:rRNA from 1 species